rnacentral:rRNA from 1 species
CGUGUAGGCGGUUUAUUAAGUCAGAUGUGAAAGCCCACGGCUUAACCGUGGAACGGCAUUUGAUACUGAUAGGCUUGAGUAUGAGAAGGGGUAGUGGAAUUCCCAGUGUAGCGGUGAAAUGCGUAGAUAUUGGGAAGAACACCAGUAGCGAGGGCGACUACCUGGCUCAUUACUGACGCUAAUGCGCGAAAGCGCGGGGGGCAAACA